AAAACAUAAAGGAUAAUAAAAGUUGGCCACUCUAUUAAUACACAUCCACUCCUUCUCAUCUAAACUCACACUGCCUUUCACCUUCCUCCCUCUCGGUUACAUAUACAAACACAGGGAAUUUCUCACCUGCACAAGACAAAAACCCAAAUCAAACAACUUUCCUCACCAAACAAAACCCAACCCAACCCAGCCGACCACCCCUACCCCUCUCGGUCUAUCUCUCCUCUCGUUCUAUACAUUCAAACACAAAGAAAUCAGCUCCCAACCCACUUGUUUUACCCCCUAUUAAUGGGCCAACCACCACCAUCCUUUGGUGGUGGCAGACUACAACAACAAACACCACCACCACCACAGGCGGCGGCGCUGUGGUGGUUGGUACCGAAUGAUGAAGAGAACAGAACCGCCGCACGCGGCGGCGGUAUGACGGCAAGAGAGAGAGAGAGUAGAGAGAGAUGGUGACAGCGGCUGACUAGCGACGGAGCCGUCUCUCCGACGGCGGCGGCGGUGGUCUGAGACUUAGACCGGCAGUUCGUGUUACGGACCGGUGGUUCGUGUCAAGAUCCAGCGGUUUUUGCUUUUGACUAAUGGGUUAACCGGGAGUAGCGGCUGAAGACGGUGGUGAUGACGAUGGUGACGGCAGUGGCAGCGUGACGGUGGUUGUGUCUCGAUCCACGAGAUUUCCGCAAACGUCAACAGUUGGGGUUCGGGUUAGAUGUUGAGUUUCGGCAAACGUCAACAGUUGGGGUUCGGGUUAGAUGUUGAGUUUCGGGUUUUCGGGUGCAGGUCAGCGCUGUGGUUCAGCUUGUUGCGGUUCACACGGUUCAGCAGGUUUAAUUUUCGGGCCAACUGGUUAACGGGUUGACUCGGUCAAACUGAGUCAACUCAGUCAACAAGUCAAAGCUGGUCAACAUCGAGUCAUUGCUCGGGCUUGGUCAACUCGGGUCAGAUUAGGAAGCGGUUCGGUCGACUCGGUCAAACCCGGUCAACAGCGAGUUGACUCGGUCAACUCAGCUAGCUCACUCGACAUUUCGUCACGAAGACUUGGAAUAUUGUAGAAUGCACGCUAGCAAGUCCCGACUUGGAAACGACAUCGCAAAGUCGUAUAUAGCUAGCUUUGCACAGGAAUAUUCAGGUUACUUUUCAAACAAUGGA
rnacentral:lncRNA from 1 species